rnacentral:lncRNA from 1 species
UUAUGUUCUUUGAACGCAACAAAGACUUAGGUUACAGGUAUAUUUAUAAGUGGAUUUCGUUGUUAACGAGAGGACUGUUUUUCAUUUUAUAUGCAUAACCAUGAUGUCAUAGCUCAACAGAAAUUGCUUUCGUUAACAGGAAAUCCAAAAUGCUAUGCUGAUAUAUGAAUUACGGGGACCGUGGUCUAAAUACGGCAUCGGUCAUUCAAGGACGAAAAGGAGAUAACCCAGUACAAUAUAAGUGCAGUUUUUUAAUUACAUUCCUCAUCUACAACGAAAAUGCAGUUCUACUAAACAAAAAUUAUGAACAAAAGUAAUAAACUGGAAUGUCACAGGUUCAACCGUUCAAACCCCAACUACGUGAGCACCACCAGG